GGGGUCGAUUAGGUUUCGACGGGAUAGAUAGAGUAUAGAUUGCAAGUCGAGGUAUACGUAAAUGCAUUCAGUAAAUAACUGGAAACAAAAUUAAAGAUACACUUGCUGCAAUGUUUAAUAGAAACGCUGUAGCUUUUGCCUAAUUUAGUUUAGGAAGGUGUGCUCUUAAUAUAUCUUUUCCUACGAGAUAUUUUAAGGGCUUAUAAAGUAGGAUAUAUUGUUAUGAUACCUAUAAGUAGCAAUGAAUAACAUAGGCUUGCUGUGUGUUAAUUUGUUAAUUAGUUUUUCAUACAGUGAAAUUUUGUAAUUAACUAAACUUGUAGAUGUUUAUAUAUCAUUUAUUUCGGACGGGAGUUCGAUUCUCCCCGACUCCACCA
rnacentral:tmRNA from 1 species